rnacentral:rRNA from 2 species
CUACACAUGCAAGUCGAACGGUGAAGCCNNAGCUUGCUNNGGUGGAUCAGUGGCGAACGGGUGAGUAACACGUGAGCAAUCUGCCCUUGACUCUGGGAUAAGCGCUGGAAACGGCGUCUAAUACUGGAUAUGAACUGUGGCCGCAUGGUCGGCAGUUGGAAAGAAUUUCGGUCAAGGAUGAGCUCGCGGCCUAUCAGCUUGUUGGUGAGGUAAUGGCUCACCAAGGCGUCGACGGGUAGCCGGCCUGAGAGGGUGACCGGCCACACUGGGACUGAGACACGGCCCAGACUCCUACGGGAGGCAGCAGUGGGGAAUAUUGCACAAUGGGCGCAAGCCUGAUGCAGCAACGCCGCGUGAGGGAUGACGGCCUUCGGGUUGUAAACCUCUUUUAGCAGGGAAGAAGCGAAAGUGACGGUACCUGCAGAAAAAGCACCGGCUAACUACGUGCCAGCAGCCGCGGUAAUACGUAGGGUGCAAGCGUUAUCCGGAAUUAUUGGGCGUAAAGAGCUCGUAGGCGGUUUGUCNCGUCUGCUGUGAAAACUGGAGGCUCAACCUCCAGCCUGCAGUGGGUACGGGCAGACUAGAGUGCGGUAGGGGAGAUUGGAAUUCCUGGUGUAGCGGUGGAAUGCGCAGAUAUCAGGAGGAACACCGAUGGCGAAGGCAGAUCUCUGGGCCGUAACUGACGCUGAGGAGCGAAAGGGUGGGGAGCAAACAGGCUUAGAUACCCUGGUAGUCCACCCCGUAAACGUUGGGAACUAGUUGUGGGGUCCAUUCCACGGAUUCCGUGACGCAGCU